UCCACUACUCAGUUGGUAGAGUAUAAAGCUCUUAACCUUGUGGACAUGGGUUCAAGCCCCAUGGUGGAG
rnacentral:tRNA from 1 species